UGGGGAAUAUUGCACAAUGGGGGAAACCCUGAUGCAGCGACGCCGCGGGAGCGAAGAAGUAUUUCGGUAUGUAAAGCUCUAUCAGCAGGGAAGAUAAUGACGGUACCUGACUAAGAAGCCACGGCUAACUACGUGCCAGCAGCCGCGGUAAUACGUAGGGGGCAAGCGUUAUCCGGAUUUACUGGGUGUAAAGGGAGCGUAGACGGCAAGGCAAGUCUGAUGUGAAAACCCAGGGCUUAACCCUGGGACUGCAUUGGAAACUGUCUGGCUCGAGUGCCGGAGAGGUAAGCGGAAUUCCUAGUGUAGCGGUGAAAUGCGUAGAUAUUAGGAAGAACACCAGUGGCGAAGGCGGCUUACUGGACGGUAACUGACGUUGAGGCUCGAAAGCGUGGGGAGCAAACAGG
rnacentral:rRNA from 1 species